rnacentral:rRNA from 1 species
CUAGUUGGUGGGGUAAUGGCCUACCAAGGCGACAAUCCGUAGCUGGUCUGAGAGGACGACCAGCCACACCGGAACUGAGACACGGUCCGGACUCCUACGGGAGGCAGCAGUGGGGAAUAUUGGACAAUGGGGGAAACCCUGAUCCAGCGACGCCGCGUGUGUGAAGAAGGCCUGCGGGUUGUAAAGCACUUUUAGUGGGGACAAAAAGCUACGGAUUAAUACUCUGUGGUCUUGAUUUAACCCAAAGAAAAAGCACCGGCUAACUCUGUGCCAGCAGCCGCGGUAAUACAGAGGGUGCGAGCGUUAAUCGGAAUUACUGGGCGUAAAGCGCGCGUAGACGGUUUUGUAAGUCAGAUGUGAAAUCCCUGGGCUCAACCUGGGAACUGCAUUUGAAACUGCAUGGCUAGAGUAUCGAAGAGGGAAGUGGAAUUUCCGGUGUAGCGGUGAAAUGCGUAGAUAUCGGAAGGAACACCAGUGGCGAAAGCGACUUCCUGGUCGAAUACUGACGUUCAUGUGCGAAAGCGUGGGGAGCAAACAGGAUUAGAUACCCUGGUAGUCCACGCCCUAAACGAUGAUUACUCGAUCUCAGCGAUACACUGUUGGGGUCUAUGUGAAAGCAUUAAGUAAUCCACCUGGGGAGUACGAUCGCAAGAUUGAAACUCAAAGGAAUUGACG